AUUGAACGCUGGCGGCAGGCCUAACACAUGCAAGUCGAGCGGAUGAAGGGAGCUUGCUCCUGGAUUCAGCGGCGGAUGGGUGAGUAAUGCCUAGGAAUCUGCCUGGUAGUGGGGGAUAACGUCCGGAAACGGGCGCUAAUACCGCAUACGUCCUGAGGGAGAAAGUGGGGGAUCUUCGGACCUCACGCUAUCAGAUGAGCCUAGGUCGGAUUAGCUAGUUGGUGGGGUAAAGGCCUACCAAGGCGACGAUCCGUAACUGGUCUGAGAGGAUGAUCAGUCACACUGGAACUGAGACACGGUCCAGACUCCUACGGGAGGCAGCAGUGGGGAAUAUUGGACAAUGGGCGAAAGCCUGAUCCAGCCAUGCCGCGUGUGUGAAGAAGGUCUUCGGAUUGUAAAGCACUUUAAGUUGGGAGGAAGGGCAGUAAGUUAAUACCUUGCUGUUUUGCCGUUACCAACAGAAUAAGCACCGGCUAACUUCGUG
rnacentral:rRNA from 1 species